AGGAUCAAGCGUCUGAAGGGCAUCUGGUGGAUGCCUUGGCACUGAGAGGCGAUGAAGGACGCAGCACGUUGCGAUAAGCCAUGGGGAGCCGCGAGCAGGCUUUGAUCCGUGGAUUUCCGAAUGGGGCAACCCACCGCGCAAGCGGUAUCCCACGCUGAAUCCAUAGGCGUGGGAGGCGAACCCGGCGAACUGAAACAUCUAAGUAGCCGGAGGAAAGGACAUCAACCGAGACUCCGCUAGUAGUGGCGAGCGAACGCGGACCAGGCCAGUGGUUGGACCGACAUAACCGGAAGCGUCUGGAAAGGCGCACCAGAGCGGGUGAUAGUCCCGUACGGGUAAACCAGGUUCAAUCCUCGAGUAGGGCGGGGCACGUGAAACCCUGUCCGAACAUGGGGGGACCACCCUCCAAGCCUAAGUACUCCUCAGUGACCGAUAGUGCACCAGUACCGUGAGGGAAAGGUGAAAAGCACCCCGACGAGGGGAGUGAAACAGUUCCUGAAACCGGAUGCCUACAAGCAGUCGGAGCGGCCUUGCGCCGUGACGGCGUACCUUUUGUAUAAUGGGUCAGCGACUUACAGUAAGCAGCGAGCUUAAGGCGAUAGCCGGAGGCGCAGCGAAAGCGAGUCUGAACAGGGCGCUUGAGUUGCUUGCUGUAGACCCGAAACCCGGUGAUCUAGCCAUGGGCAGGUUGAAGGUGCGGUAACACGCACUGGAGGACCGAACUCACGCCUGUUGAAAAAGUCGGAGAUGACCUGUGGCUAGGGGUGAAAGGCCAAUCAAACCGGGAAAUAGCUGGUUCUCCGCGAAAGCUAUUUAGGUAGCGCGUCGGGCGAUUGCCCACGGGGGUAGAGCACUGGAUGGGCUAGGGGGCCUCGCGGCUUACCAAACCUAACCAAACUCCGAAUACCGUGGAGCACAGCCCGGCAGACAGACGGUGGGUGCUAAGGUCCAUCGUCGAGAGGGAAACAGCCCAGACCGCCAGCUAAGGUCCCCAAAUCACGGCUAAGUGGGAAAGGAUGUGGGAAGGCCAUGACAACCAGGAGGUUGGCUUAGAAGCAGCCAUCCUUUAAAGAAAGCGUAAUAGCUCACUGGUCUAGUUAAGCCGGCCUGCGCCGAAAAUGUAUCGGGGCUCAAGCCGUGUACCGAAGCUGCGGAUGUGAUCUCUGAUCACGUGGUAGCGGAGCGUUCCGUAAGCCUGCGAAGGGUGUCCGUGAGGCCGCCUGGAGGUAUCGGAAGUGAGAAUGCUGACAUGAGUAGCGACAAACAGUGUGAGAAACACUGUCGCCGAAAGUCCAAGGGUUCCUGCGCAAGGUUAAUCCACGCAGGGUGAGCCGGCCCCUAAGGCGAGGCCGAAAGGCGUAGUCGAUGGGAACCACGUUAAUAUUCGUGGGCCAGCGGGUGUGUGACGAAUGGGAAAGCGUGUCGGGCCUUAUCGGAUUGGCCCGGCUGGGGACCCGUUCCAGGAAACAGCCCCCGCAUCAGACCGUACCCCAAACCGACACAGGUGGACUGGUAGAGUAUACCCAGGCGCUUGAGAGAAUGGUGUUGAAGGAACUCGGCAAAUUGCCCUCGUAACUUCGGAAGAAGAGGGCCCCGUCGCGGCGCAAGCCGGGGCGGGGGGCACAGACCAGGGGGUGGCGACUGUUUACUAAAAACACAGGGCUCUGCGAAGCCGUACAAGGCGACGUAUAGGGUCUGACGCCUGCCCGGUGCCGGAAGGUUAAGAGGAGGGGUUCACGCUCCGAAUUGAAGCCCCGGUAAACGGCGGCCGUAACUAUAACGGUCCUAAGGUAGCGAAAUUCCUUGUCGGGUAAGUUCCGACCUGCACGAAUGGCGUAACGACUUCCCCGCUGUCUCCAACACCAACUCAGCGAAAUUGAACUCUCCGUGAAGAUGCGGAGUACCCGCGGUCAGACGGAAAGACCCCGUGCACCUUUACUACAGCUUUGCAGUGGUGCUAGGGAUCUCAUGUGUAGGAUAGGUGGGAGGCUAGGAA
rnacentral:rRNA from 1 species